AUUCAUUUCUUUGCUGUUUCAGAAAAAAAAAGAGGGAGAGCUCUCCCAUUCUCUCUGGGAAAAUCCCAGAUCCCGGCCAGGAGGAGUCGCGAGGUGGCCAGAAUUUCGAAAGGUGCAGAGGGGGUGGAGGUGACCCGAGUUGAUGGCCGGUGCUGCAGUGGGCAGGUGGUGGCAGAGGCAAGUGGCCCUAGGGGCGGUGGCUGAUCAUAAGGGGGCUAGGGUUUUUCUUCUUCUGAUUUUAAUGUAUUGGGCUAGGGUUGGUGUUUUAAUUUUGGGCUUGUUGUUAUUUGGGUUAGUUUUGGGUAUUGGGCUUGGGUAGGUUUAGUUAUUGUAAUUGGGUAGUGGGGUUUAUUUCGGGCCAAAAUUGGGCCUCAACAGGCGCUGAAAAGUAUAAUACAAUCUGAUAAUAUUUUUAUAGUUGAGUGACAAAAAAAAGUUAA